GACGAACGCUGGCGGCGCGCCUAACACAUGCAAGUCGAACGGAGCUGAGAGAAGCUUGCUUUUCUUAGCUUAGUGGCGAACGGGUGAGUAACGCGUGAGUAACCGGCCCUGGAGUGGGGGACAACAGUUGGAAACGACUGCUAAUACCGCAUAAGCCCACGAUACGGCAUCGGAUUGAGGGAAAAGGAUUUAUUCGCUUCAGGAUGGACGCGCGUCCAAUUAGCUAGUUGGUGAGGUAACGGCCCACCAAGGCGACGAUUGGUAGCCGGACUGAGAGGUUGAACGGCCACAUUGGGACUGAGACACGGCCCAGACUCCUACGGGAGGCAGCAGUGGGGGAUAUUGCACAAUGGGGGAAACCCUGAUGCAGCGACGCCGCGUGGAGGAAGAAGGUUUUCGGAUUGUAAACUCCUGUCGUUAGGGACGAUAAUGACGUUACCUAACAAGAAAGCACCGGCUAACUACGUG
rnacentral:rRNA from 1 species